CACACAUUACGUCUUGGAGUCCGUGUUGCAGCUGGCUACAGAUCUGUAGCCCGUUGCUCUUAUCUCUCUUCCUUUAACUCCUUAGAAUAUGUUUAUAGUUGGUUUAUAACCUGCUACUGUAUCUGCUGCUAUAAAUCAGCUAUAACCACAUAUCGAGAAGAAAAGAGAAGAGAGAGAAAAAAACGGACCACAGAUUUAUAGCCGGUUGUAACACAGACUCCAAGACGUUACGUG
rnacentral:misc_RNA from 1 species